rnacentral:piRNA from 1 species
UCAGCCACUCCAUUCAGUGUGGGGUCACUGCA